GAAUAUUGAAUAACAAUCUUUAUUUCAGAAGGUUCUCAUUUACAAAAAAAGAACAAAUGAAACAAUGUCAAAAACUCCUUACAUAAAAAAGUCCUAAAUUUUAGAGGGUUCCAGUUGAAUUAAAUGAUCAUGUAGGUUUCAAAAGGCUUACGUUGGAGUUCUGCCAAAGAAUUGAAGAUUCCAUUCAAUCCUUCGAUUUCCUGGAUAUUUGUCAGUAAUCACAAAAAUAAUUAUUUUAUUGUCAAUCUUCAAAUGAAAUGUUUCCUUCUUUAAUAUUUAAGUGGUACAAUACGA